GCUCACUGGCUCGAAUUAAACAAGGCUUAACCUCGAAAUAUAAGAAUAAGUAGGAAACAGCUCGCGCGUGCUCCAUUCAUAAAUACAAAUGAGGUAUUGAUGACGCUGCCGGACAGAUUCCAAAAACAAUAAAAUCUUUUG
ensembl:ncRNA F08B12.10 ncRNA